rnacentral:rRNA from 1 species
GACGAAUGUUGGCGGCGUACUUAACACAUGCAAGUCGAACGGAAAGGCCCUGCUUUUGUGGGGUGCUCGAGUGGCGAACGGGUGAGUAACACGUGAGUAACCUGCCCUUGACUUUGGGAUAACUUCAGGAAACUGGGGCUAAUACCGGAUAGGAGCUCCUGCUGCAUGGUGGGGGUUGGAAAGUUUCGGCGGUUGGGGAUGGACUCGCGGCUUAUCAGCUUGUUGGUGGGGUAGUGGCUUACCAAGGCUUUGACGGGUAGCCGGCCUGAGAGGGUGACCGGCCACAUUGGGACUGAGAUACGGCCCAGACUCCUACGGGAGGCAGCAGUGGGGAAUAUUGCACAAUGGGCGGAAGCCUGAUGCAGCAACGCCGCGUGCGGGAUGACGGCCUUCGGGUUGUAAACCGCUUUCGCCUGUGACGAAGCGUGAGUGACGGUAAUGGGUAAAGAAGCACCGGCUAACUACGUGCCAGCAGCCGCGGUGAUACGUAGGGUGCGAGCGUUGUCCGGAUUUAUUGGGCGUAAAGGGCUCGUAGGUGGUUGAUCGCGUCGGAAGUGUAAUCUUGGGGCUUAACCCUGAGCGUGCUUUCGAUACGGGUUGACUUGAGGAAGGUAGGGGAGAAUGGAAUUCCUGGUGGAGCGGUGGAAUGCGCAGAUAUCAGGAGGAACACCAGUGGCGAAGGCGGUUCUCUGGGCCUUUCCUGACGCUGAGGAGCGAAAGCGUGGGGAGCGAACAGGCUUAGAUACCCUGGUAGUCCACGCUGUAAACGGUGGGUACUAGGUGUGGGGUCCAUUCCACGGGUUCCGUGCCGUAGCUAACGCUUUAAGUACCCCGCCUGGGGAGUACGGCCGCAAGGCUAAAACUCAAAGGAAUUGACGGGGCCCCGCACAAGCGGCGGAGCAUGCGGAUUAAUUCGAUGCAACGCGUAGAACCUUACCUGGGUUUGACAUGGAUCGGGAGUGCUCAGAGAUGGGUGUGCCUCUUUUGGGGUCGGUUCACAGGUGGUGCAUGGCUGUCGUCAGCUCGUGUCGUGAGAUGUUGGGUUAAGUCCCGCAACGAGCGCAACCCUUGUUCACUGUUGCCAGCACGUUAUGGUGGGGACUCAGUGGAGACCGCCGGGGUCAACUCGGAGGAAGGUGGGGAUGACGUCAAGUCAUCAUGCCCCUUAUGUCCAGGGCUUCACGCAUGCUACAAUGGCUGGUACAGAGAGUGGCGAGCCUGUGAGGGUGAGCGAAUCUCGGAAAGCCGGUCUCAGUUCGGAUUGGGGUCUGCAACUCGACCUCAUGAAGUCGGAGUCGCUAGUAAUCGCAGAUCAGCAACGCUGCGGUGAAUACGUUCCCGGGGCU